rnacentral:snoRNA from 1 species
GGCCUCUUGCUCACUGGACUGUGGGGAUCCCACUGCUCCUCAGCAGGCCCAAGGUCACAUCAGCCCUGGGGGAGCAUGGUCAGAGCUGCUGGGCGGCUUUACAGGCCUCUCUUCCCA